UCCCUACGUCCUCGUCACUGAGUCCGGCGCCCCCAGCUCCAAGCUUUUGGGCUACAUGGCGAGCCGCGAUUGGGUGAAGCUGGCGAACAAGGAGGUCAAGAUUUACGAUUACAUGGUUAGCUGUAAGGACAUGGUUUUGCCUUGGAGCUCCGAUUUGGGGAAGAUUGAGGAGUUCAUGGCGGAUAAAGGCCGGGACGUGGCGGCGACGGUGAGGGACGACGAGGUUGUCGACGUUGUGGGGAAGGAGGACGUGGAGUCCAUCAAUGAGGGCUUCUUCAAUCUUUGGAUUUUGUGAAUCAGUGUUUGUGGUUGUUCAUCUUGGCACUGCGUUUUGGUAAUGCUUGUUGCUUUUAGGCAUUCGUCUUGGCUGCUCAUCAUCUCAUUUGCUGUUCAACGAAGUACGUUCUUUGGGUCUUCUUAUGGCUUCACUGGCACAUGGAAGGAAGCUCUUGAAUGGGCUUGUUAUUUCGCUUUUGCUUCCAUGUUUGAUAUUCUCUCAACUCAGACAAGCAAUCAUUGGGGAGAAAAUUCUCGAGUGGUAAGAGCUAUUUCUGCUGGUCCAUGAUUCCAAUAUCAUUUUUCUAUUUACCUCAUCUUUGAAGUCGCAGUAACUUUCUUUGUAUAUACGAUGUGAAUAUCUUUUGUUUCCUUACUUGAGCAAUUCGAAGUCAUGGAGUUCUUUUAUUGCUUUUCAGAUUUUGAAACUUGGUUAGAAGUUUUAGUAAUGGUAUCUAGUUUGACAAGAACUAUCUUACUUUUUGCCACUAUAUAUUUCGGAGCUGCGUACUUAUGAAUCCCUCCAUGUUUCACAUGCAUCUUUAAUUGCAUUGACCGUUUCCUCUCGACUGUGUUCAUUCCCGAUG